AAUAGAUACCCCGGUAGUCCACGCCGUAAACGAUGAGUGCUAAGUGUUAGGGGGUUUCCGCCCCUUAGUGCUGCAGCUAACGCAUUAAGCACUCCGCCUGGGGAGGUACGGUCGCAAGACUGAAACUCAAAGGAAAUUGACGGGGGCCCGGCACAAGCGGUGGAGCAUGUGGUUUAAUUUCGAAGCAACGCGAAGAACCUUACCAGGUCUUGACAUCCCGCUGAUCGCUAUGGAGACAUAGCCUUCCCUUCGGGGACAGCGGUGACAGGUGGUGCAUGGUUGUCGUCAGCUCGUGUCGUGAGAUGUUGGGUUAAGUCCCGCAACGAGCGCAACCCUUGAGAUUAGUUGCCAUUCAUUCAGUUGGGCACUCUAAUCUGACUGCCGGUGAUAAACCGGAGGAAGGUGGGGAUGACGUCAAAUCAUCAUGCCCCUUAUGGCCUGGGCUACACACGCGCUACAAUGGACGGUACAAACGGUUGCCAACCCGGCGAGGGGGAGCCAAUCCGAUAAAACCGUUCUCAGUUCGGAUUGUAGG
rnacentral:rRNA from 1 species